rnacentral:rRNA from 1 species
UACGAAGGGGGCUAGCGUUGCUCGGAAUCACUGGGCGUAAAGGGUGCGUAGGCGGGUCUUUAAGUCAGGGGUGAAAUCCUGGAGCUCAACUCCAGAACUGCCUUUGAUACUGAGGAUCUUGAGUUCGGGAGGGGUGAGUGGAACUGCGAGUGUAGAGGUGAAAUUCGUAGAUAUUCGCAAGAACACCAGUGGCGAAGGCGGCUCACUGGCCCGAUACUGACGCUGAGGCACGAAAGCGUGGGGAGCAAACGGG